UACGUAGGGUGCAAGCGUUGUCCGGAAUUAUUGGGCGUAAAGAGCUUGUAGGCGGUUUGUCGCGUCUGCUGUGAAAUUUCGGGGCUCAACCCCGAACUUGCAGUGGGUACGGGCAGACUAGAGUGUGGUAGGGGGGACUGGAAUUCCUGGUGUAGCGGUGAAAUGCGCAGAUAUCAGGAGGAACACCGGUGGCGAAGGCGGUUCUCUGGGCAUGAUCUGACGCUGAGGAGCGAAAGUGUGGGGAGCGAACAGG
rnacentral:rRNA from 1 species